rnacentral:tRNA from 1 species
GUUGAUAUAGCAUAAGAAAUGUGUUUGUUUUAAGCGCAGAAGAUAUUAUUCAACU